GUGAGGAAUUUUCCGCAAUGGGCGAAAGCCUGACGGAGCAAUGCCGCGUGAAGGAUGAAGGCCUAUGGGUUGUAAACUUCUUUUCUCAGAAAAGAAUUAUGACGGUAUCUGAGGAAUAAGCAUCGGCUAACUCUGUGCCAGCAGCCGCGGUAAGACAGAGGAUGCAAGCGUUAUCCGGAAUGAUUGGGCGUAAAGCGUCUGUAGGUUGUUUAAAAAGUAUUCUGUCAAAGAUUAGGGCUUAACCCUAGAUAGGCAGAAUAAACUUUUAAGCUAGAGUUUGGUAGAGGCAGAGGGAAUUCCCGGUGGAGCGGUUAAAUGCCGAGAUAUCGGGAGGAACACCAAAGGCGAAGGCACUCUGGUGGGCCAAUACUAACACUGAGAGACGAAAGCGAGGGGAGCAAAUGGGAUUAGAAACCCGUGUAGUCC
rnacentral:rRNA from 1 species